rnacentral:lncRNA from 1 species
GCGGCGGUGGCGGCGCAGAGGACAGUUUCCCCAACAGACUGCAUUGCCAAACUCGUGGAUUUUUGAUAAUCUGAUAAGUGAAAAGUGAACCUUGACAAUAAAACUCUGGAACUGGUCUUUUGAGAGGAGUAGGACUGCGACUACUCUUUCAGUUAUUUCAUCGUAAUUGGUUUAUUCAGAUGUUUCUUCCAUUUAGACCAAUGAGUACUGGGAGACGUCAGAAACAGGGAACUGAGGACACUCUGCUUGUCC